GACGAACGCUGGCGGCGUGCUUAACACAUGCAAGUCGAACGGAAAGGCCCUGCUUUUGUGGGGUGCUCGAGUGGCGAACGGGUGAGUAACACGUGAGUAACCUGCCCUUGACUUUGGGAUAACUUCAGGAAACUGGGGCUAAUACCGGAUAGGAGCCCCUGCUGCAUGGAGGGGGUUGGAAAGUUUCGGCGGGUGGGGAUGGACUCGCGGCUUAUCAGCUUGCUGGUGGGGUAGUGGCUUACCAAGGCUUUGACGGGUAGCCGGCCUGAGAGGGUGACCGGCCACAUUGGGACUAAGAUACGGACCAGACUCCUACGGGAGGCAGCAGUGGGGAGUAUUGCACAAUGGGCGGAAGCCUGAUGCAGCAACGCCGCGUGCGGGAUGACGGCCUUCGGGUUGUAAACCGCUUUCGCCUGUGACGAAGCGUGAGUGACGGUAAUGGGUAAAGAAGCACCGGCUAACUACGUG
rnacentral:rRNA from 1 species